rnacentral:piRNA from 1 species
UCCAGGGGUAAACCUUAAAGAAGGUGUC